CGGAGGAGGAGGAGGAGGAGGAAGAGGCGGAGGCGGAGGACGCCGCGAAAUUCGCCGACGCGACGAACAAGGACGGACUCGGGCAGCGCUCGAGCGCGUACGACGAGGAAGAGACUCGCGGGGGAUGCGUGCUCGGCGGUGGACAGAGAACGAUUGAGCGUUCGCGUGGAGCGAGCGAGCGAGCCAGCGCACCUGACCAGUCCCUGACAGCGGGGCGAGGGGUUGAAAACCGGCGGGUGGCAGGACGGUCGGUCGGUCGGUCGGUGGGAAGCGGCAUGGUUGGCGGCUCGGCGAUGCGGGGGGGCCAGGAGGGGACAAGAGAGUCCGUUCGGUGUGGAGGGGCGACGGAGAGCACGAUGCACAGCACAGCGCGGCUCGGAGCUGCUCGGCUCGGCGCGGCGCGGAGCGGCGCGACGCGACGCGGCGGCAUUGGGGGUGGAAAAGGUGGGGAUCGGGGCGGAGGGCGAGGCGCAAGUCUGCGGUACCCGAGAGAAACGCGAGAGCCCGUCGCUCCUGCGGGAGUGCGACGGAGAACGAGAGCGUUCGUUUCCCGCGGGAGCAAGGAAGACUUCCCUCGGCGGCCGGACGAGAACAGAAAUACGGUCUGCGCGGAAACGAACGAGACGGAACGGAGACGACGAAGAGCGGGAACGGGUUCGGCCACGGACUGACGAAGACGGAUGCAAGGUUCGCGAGAAAACCGGAAAGGACAGGCCCGAUCUACCGUCGUCGGCGCGACAAAGGGAAGCUUCGUUACAUGCGAGCGUGACGUCGACGAACGCCUCGGUUUGCAAAAGUUGGUGAAAAACCGACGUCAUGUUCGACUGGUAGUUGUUCCAGCGCAGGCAGUAGUGCUGCCCGGCCAUGCCGCCGCUACAACAAAAACACCGGGAGAUCCGUUCAGUUACGUUUCGUCUUCCCCCCACCACCCCGCCGCGCCGCGCCGCACACAGUGCUCCUCUCUCUCGCUUCCUACAUUCGUCGAAAAGUCAUCGAAGAAGACGACGACGACGACGACGACGACGACUCUUCUCGUACCACAUCCCUUCGCGCGCAAGCAUACACACGCAUAUGGCUGUGCAUAUAGUAUAUAUAUACAUAGGCACGUACACACGUUUUUUUAACAGGCUUAAACAAAAAAAAACAAAACACACACGACACGAGACACGAGACACGCCGUUUCCUCGGUUGCCCUUCAGCCUUCAAGAUCGAUCUGCAAAGCGGGAUAGUACCUGUAGUGCACGCCCCAAUAACGAUCUGUCUCCAUUAAAUAUUCUCUAGUUUUCUUUCUCGCCGCACGGUCAGCCGAGAAGUUAUCGGUGACGUUUACACACACACACGAGGGCGAGGCGAGUCCUAGAUAAAAGGU